AGUGAACGCUGGCGGUAGGCCUAACACAUGCAAGUCGAACGGCAGCACAGGAGAGCUUGCUCUCUAGGUGGCGAGUGGCGGACGGGUGAGGAAUACAUCGGAAUCUGCCCAGUCGUGGGGGAUAACGUAGGGAAACUUACGCUAAUACCGCAUACGACCUUCGGGUGAAAGAGCGGGGUCGCAAGACCUCUCGCGAUUGGAUGAGCCGAUGUCGGAUUAGCUAGUUAGCGGGGUAAUGGCCCACCAAGGCGACGAUCCGUAGCUGGUCUGAGAGGAUGAUCAGCCACACUGGAACUGAGACACGGUCCAGACUCCUACGGGAGGCAGCAGUGGGGAAUAUUGGACAAUGGGCGCAAGCCUGAUCCAGCCAUACCGCGUGGGUGAAGAAGGCCUUCGGGUUGUAAAGCCCUUUUGUUGGGAAAGAAAUCUUUCAGGCUAAUACCCUGGGAGGAUGACGGUACCCAAAGAAUAAGCACCGGCUAACUUCGUG
rnacentral:rRNA from 1 species